GGCUUAUUGUAUGUAGGCCAUACAGAGACCUAUUUAUCAAUCUGUCAUUUUAGGUUUUGCGUUCUAACAGGUAACAAGGAGCAUGUCACUGAACCUAUGUUUAUUUUUUAUUGAUACAUGUACAGUGAAACCUGACUAAACCGAAUCCUGCAUAAACCAAACAUGUUCUUAAGCACCAUCAUAUCAAAUUGUAUGCGUUGUGAACCUGAUAAAACAGAACAUCAGCCAAAACCAAACAAAAUCUUAAAUACUGAAGAG
rnacentral:lncRNA from 1 species